rnacentral:rRNA from 1 species
AACGAACGCUGGCGGCAUGCCUAACACAUGCAAGUCGAACGAGACCUUCGGGUCUAGUGGCGCACGGGUGCGUGCCGCGUGGGAACUUGCCCUUAGGUUCGGAAUCACUCCCCGUAAGGGGUGCUCAUACCGCAUAAUGUCUUCGGACCAAAGAUUUAUCGCCUUUGGAUGGGCCCGCGUUGGAUUGGCGAGUUGGUAGGGUAAAAGCAUACCAAGGCGACGAUCCAUAGCUGGUCGGAGAGCAGGGCCAGUCACACUGGGACUGAGACACGGCCCAGACUCGGACGGAAGGGAGGAGUGUGGAGUAUUGGAGGAUGGGCGAAAGCCUGGUCCAGCAGUGCGGCGUGAGUCAUGAAGGCCGUAGUGUUGUAAAUCUGUUUUACCCGAGAUGAGAAUGACAGUACCGGGAGAAGAAGCUCCGGCUAACUCCGUG